AUAUUUUAUAUUUAUUAAAAGUAACUAUUGUUUUAAUAAAAAGUAAUUAUGCAUAUGAAGAAAUGUAAUAUUUUAAUAUUAUUACUUUUUUCACAAAAAAUGUUAUUUUUACUCACGAAAACUUGUAAUUUUAAUAUUUGGUUAAGUAAUUAUAGUCGUAAGAAAAAAUAACCAUUAAUGUGAAUAAAGGUAAUAUUAAAAAAAGCAUAAAUAAAUGGGAAAAAUAGAAAAAUGUUUAAAAAGUGUUGAAAAUAAAAAAUUAAACAAAAAAAAGCAUAAAACAAAAAACUGAAGAAAAAUGAAAAAAUGAAAAAGACAAAAAAACUGAAAAAAGAAAAAUAAGCAAAAAAGGAACCAAAAGAAAAAGGAAAAAGAAAAAUGGAACCAAUAAAAACAGGGCAAAGGGAUUCAAACCCUUACGACUUGCAAGAAUACAUGCAGUCAUUACCAAUGCACCAGAGAAUAAUCUAACCUUUUGUAUAAAUAUUGGACCUAAUCGCAUACCAUGCAGUGACCUCACACAAGACUAGCCCAAAAACAAUUGGUGUGAGAUUUUGAAUCUCUCAUCGGGUUAUAUAAUUAUGUUGAAAUCCGCCAACAACAUAAACUAGAUUAUUUGUUGUCACAC
rnacentral:lncRNA from 1 species